GUCUGGGGCUUCAAAAGGGAGGAGGACAAAUCACAGGCAGACGAGAAGAAAGAAAAUGUUUGGUAAACGAAUGUUUGCCUUGCUUUGCAGAUAAGUCUUUCUGAUAUAAAAGCUAUCUUUGGGGCUUCCCUGAUGCCCUAAUGGUUACGAAUCUGCUUGCCAGUGCAGAGGACACAGGUUCAAUCCUUGGUCCAGGAGGAUCCCACACGCCACGGAGCAAGACACAGAUAGCUGCUCGAGCUGAGGGACUGAAGUCAGGAAGCAUCAGUCCAUGGUGUUUCACGUGGGCGGCAGCAAACAGAUGUAUUUACCCAGGAUAAAUGAAAGCGUAUCUCUAUACAAAGACUUGUACAUCAUUGUUUACGGCAGCUUUACUUGUAACAGCCUCAGAUUGGAAAUAACCGUAGUGUCCAUCAACAGGUAAAUGGGUAAACAAAC
ensembl:lncRNA